AUUGAACGCUGGCGGCAGGCUUAACACAUGCAAGUCGAGCGGGGUGAUGGUGCUUGCACUAUCACUUAGCGGCGGACGGGUGAGUAAUGCUUAGGAAUCUGCCUAUUAGUGGGGGACAACAUCUCGAAAGGGAUGCUAAUACCGCAUACGUCCUACGGGAGAAAGCAGGGGAUCACUUGUGACCUUGCGCUAAUAGAUGAGCCUAAGUCGGAUUAGCUAGUUGGUGGGGUAAAGGCCUACCAAGGCGACGAUCAGUGGCUGGUCUGAGAGGACGAUAAGCCACACUGGGACUGAGACACGGCCCAGACUCCUACGGGAGGCAGCAGUGGGGAAUUUUGGACAAUGGGCGAAAGCCUGAUCCAGCAAUGCCGCGUGUGUGAAGAAGGCCUUCGGGUUGUAAAGCACUUUUGUCCGGAAAGAAAUGGCUCUGGUUAAUACCUGGGGUCGAUGACGGUACCGGAAGAAUAAGGACCGGCUAACUACGUGCCAGCCGCCGCUGUAA
rnacentral:rRNA from 1 species